rnacentral:rRNA from 1 species
UUAGAACGUCGUGAGACAGUUCGGUCCCUAUCUGCCGUGGGCGCUGGAGAACUGAGGGGGGCUGCUCCUAGUACGAGAGGACCGGAGUGGACGCAUCACUGGUGUUCGGGUUGUCAUGCCAAUGGCACUGCCCGGUAGCUAAAUGCGGAAGAGAUAAGUGCUGAAAGCAUCUAAGCACGAAACUUGCCCCGAGAUGAGUUCUCCCUGA